GGAUUCCUUAGUACUGCGAGUGAAGUGGGAAGAGCUCAAAUUUGUAAUCUGGCGGCCUUUGGACGUCCGAGUUGUAAUCUAAAGAAGUGCUACCUGUGCUGGACCGUGUACAAGUCUCCUGGAAUGGAGCAUCACAGAGGGUGAGAAUCCCGUCUUUGACAUGGACUGCCAGUGCUCAAUAGGUGUGCUCUCGAAGAGUCGAGUUGUUUGGGAAUGCAGCUCAAAAUGGGUGGUAAAUGCCAUCUAAAGCUAAAUAUUGGCGAGAGACCGAUAGCGAACAAGUACCGUGAGGGAAAGAUGAAAAGAACUUUGGAAAGAGAGUUAAACAGUACGUGAAAUUGCUGAAAGGGAAACGCUUGAAGUCAGUCACGUCCGUCGGGAAUCAACCUUGCUCUUGCUGGGUGUACUUUCUGUCGGACGGGUCAGCAUCAGUUUCGGUCGCUGGACAAAGUUCUUUGGGAAUGUGGCAUCCUCGGAUGUGUUAUAGCCCUUGGGACACAUGCAGCGGUCGGGAUUGAGGAACUCAGCACGCCCGCGAGGGCUGGGGCUUUUUGCCC
rnacentral:rRNA from 1 species